UGCAACCGGUCUAUCUAUGGAGACCACCAUGAUCUAAUCUAUACAGAUCUAGUUGUCUCUUCUCCCACAAACUCCUCUUUCAGAUUUUGAGCGGAUCUCCUUCAUUCUGCAGCCAGCUCACCAGAACCUCUGGGUGCACCAGCUGUGGAUAUUACAGGCCAAACUUUGGACACCCUAGGACAACAUCCUUAGCACAGAUCUACCUAUAGCCCUCCAUCAUUCCCACAUCCAUCUUGCAACAGUUUCAUUAAGUGCAGUCCAUAACCAGUUCACAGUCUACACCUUGUCCAUUGCAAAUGUUAUGGAUUAUUCUAAUAAAGAUCUUUCUAUUAUUUUUUUUGAGACAGUUAUUAUGUACUCUGUUAUGUUGUGAAUAAAGUCAGCCCCCCCCACCUCGAUGCUUUCAGCAGUUAAUAGAUUAAAGUGUGUCCUUAAUGUUUUAUUAUUUAAAGAUUGUUUUAAAGUUUAUUACAGGCUCAGUUUAUUUUUUUUCACUAGAAAAUAAAGUGGAGUAUUAACUGUCAUAAUCAAGUAUGAGACUUUUGUCAGUAUCAUUAAUUCUAUGAGGCAAUAUGAAUCAAAUUAACAUUUGUAUAGGGUUUUCAUCCGAAGGCUUCUUCCUUGUUCAGUUAAACAUCAAGGGUUUUCUAUGCCUUUGUCACCUUUUACUUUCUCAUUGGAAAUUAUGAGCAUCAUUAUUUGGAAGAAAAUAAGAAUAUGAAAAUGGCUUUGAUUUCAAUGUAUUGAAUGGAAUCAAAGAACCACACAAACCUUUGACCUUCACACAGACAUUGUAUAAAUUAAAGUGUUACUCAAAUUAUCAAGCUUGUAAUGUU